UGUUGCCUUGCCUCUGUGUUGACAACAGC
rnacentral:piRNA from 1 species